rnacentral:rRNA from 1 species
GACGAACGCUGGCGGCGUGCCUAACACAUGCAAGUCGAACGGGACCGGGGGCAACUCCGGUUCAGUGGCAGAUGGGUGCGUAACACGUGAGGAACUUGUCCGUCGGCGGGGGAUAGCCGGCCCAACGGCCGGGUAAUACCGCAUACGCUCGUUCGGGGGCAUCCCUGGGCGAGGAAAGCAGCCGCAAGGUUGCGCCGGUGGAGAGUCUCGCGGCCUAUCAGCUUGUUGGCGGGGUAAUGGCCCACCAAGGCGACGACGGGUAGCUGGUCU